ensembl:lncRNA
GGUGGAGACGGGUAGGUUUAGCGGUGGAAAUGUGGUCCAGGGGGUGGAGACGGAUAGGUUUAGGGAUAUGUAAAGUGGGAGGAGUUGGAUCUCGAGUUGGAGUUGGUGCACCACAGUAAUACCGGUGUACUUACAUGGUAACUCCUCAGGAACUGUCCACUUAAUAUAAAGUGUAACAUUCUGGACACCAACCACAAUUUAUAUGUAAAGCCUAACUUACUGGCUGCUGCUGUGUAACAUCAGAGUAAUUACAUGAUAGAUCUAAUAUAAAGUGUAACACUUUCUUUACCAAAAAGUCCGGUUAGUCCUGUUACACGUUUGUACUU